rnacentral:rRNA from 1 species
UACGUAGGGACCAAGCGUUGUUCGGAUUUACUGGGCGUAAAGGGCGCGUAGGCGGCGUGUCAAGUCAAUUGUGAAAUCUCCGAGCUUAACUCGGAACGGUCAAUUGAUACUGAUGUGCUAGAGUACAGAAAGGGCAACCGGAAUUCUUGGUGUAGCGGUGAAAUGCGUAGAUAUCAAGAGGAACACCUGAGGCGAAGGCGGGUUGCUAGGCUGAUACUGACGCUGAGGCGCGAAAGCUAGGGUAGCAAACGGG